rnacentral:rRNA from 1 species
AUUGAACGCUGGCGGCAGGCCUAACACAUGCAAGUCGAGCGAGCGGCGGACGGGUGAGUAAUGUCUGGGAAACUGCCCGAUGGAGGGGGAUAACUACUGGAAACGGUAGCUAAUACCGCAUACCAUCAGAUGAACCCAUAUGGGAUUAGCUAGUAGGUGGGGUAACGGCUCACCUAGGCGACGAUCCCUAGCUGGUCUGAGAGGAUGACCAGCCAAACUGGGACUGGUACACGGCCCAGACUCCUACGGUAGGCAGCAGGGGGGAAUAUUGCACAAUGGGCGCAAGCCUGAUGCAGCCAUGCCGCGUGUAUGAAGAAGGCCUUCGGGUUGUAAAGUACUUUCAGCGAGGAGGCGUUACUGGCAGAAGAAGCACCGGCUAACUCCGUGCCAGCAGCCGCGGUAAUUC